GCGAACGAGAAAGAGUGUGAGAGAAAGAUCGAUGUCAGUGGGCAAAAGAAAGAGCGGGAAAACCCAUGGUUUAUAAUAUAAUUUACCAACAGAGGUCGCUACAUUGUAUGAUUAUGACGUCACAGUAAUAUUGUAGAACCGCCCACAGUGUAUACAAGCUUGAUGUGGAUUGGUGGAUGGAAAUGAUGGCAGGCGUGUGUGCCAAUCGAUUGUCGACAAUAGGCAUGAGCUAGCCUGAAAAACGAACGGUUGAGGAUGGUUGCUUACUAGUGACUACAGACUACAUCGUAGUGGGGGAGAGAGAGUUGAAAUAGAGGGAAAACGAAAGAAGAAAAAAAAAAAAAAAAACAAGUUAAAUACAGUGCGCAUGGUGAUGAUGAUGAUGAUGAUCGCGGCGAUAGUGGGGGAAUUAACUCGGUUGGAGUAUUAGCAUAGUGGGAGAGAAAGGGAGACAGAUAUAUAUGCUCCCUGUGAAGUUUUCGUAGAAAUGGAGGGGAGAUAUGAAACAGCACAACCGACCGCCUCGGCAGGAAGUGAGCCCCGAGAGACCGUAGCGAGUGUUAAACCCCAAAACGAAACCUACAAAUCCACAGACGGUUCCGUUCUUUCGUCGAGAGUGGAUCUCGCUUUGCGCUUGUUUUUACAAGAAUAAAAAAAAAAAAAAAAAAAGAUAUUAUUUUAAAAAAAAAUAUAUAUCUAUUUAUUGUGUUUUAUAUUAUUAUUAAAGUCAAUAUAAAUAAUUAUAAACGUGUGCGUGUAUUUAAUUUAAUAAUACCAAAUAAAUAUAUAUUAUUUAAUUGGAUUUAAAUUAAAUAUUAAAAAGUGAUUUUUAAUUUUAAAUUAAAAAUAACAAAAUUAACAAAUAACCAAUUUGGAAAUUAGUGAAAAAAAAAUAAAUAUAUAUUGGACACAUACACACCACACACACAGUGACAUUGAUUAAGUAAAAAGAAAAAAAAAAAAAAAGAUAAACUUUUGUAUAAUCGAGAGAAAAAAUAUUAUUUACAUUUAUUUUAUUUUUUUUCUGUUAUUUUUGUCCGAAAAGUGAUUAAAAGUGUUUGUUUAUGAAAAACGUUGUUCUUCAUUAUUAUUAAUUUAUUUAUUUACAAAAUAUUAUUUGAUAAACUUGUUUUCAUUAACUACUGCCGAUAAAAAAAAAAAAACGGAUAAAUAUAUUAUUGGCCCUUAAUUUAAUAAUAUAAAAAUUAUAAAGGGUAAUAAGUGUGAUGUUCAUAAAGAUUAUGACGAUAAAUAAUUGUGUUAUGACAAGUGAAAAUUCGUGAGUUAAGCGAGACUAAUAUCGUAUCAAUUGGGUGUACCGUUUGAUAAAUAAAUAAUUAAAUAAUAAAAACAACAAAAAAAAAAUAAUUAGCAGCUUGUAUAGCAGCUUUGUUUUUAAUAAAAAAAAAAGGAUAUAAUAACAGACGUCAAACUGUACGGGCACAGGGAAGAAGACAUGCUAACGAUGGACGCGGAUUUAAAAGGUGGCAACCUGCACGGUCAAAUGCCGCCACAUCCACAUCAGGGUGUAUCACCAAUGGGUCAUCAUACUGGUGUAUCACCAUAUGGUUCACUUGGUUCAAUAGUACACAGUCCAGCAUUAUCAAGUGGUAGUCCACCAAGUAGUAGUAUAACAGCAUUAUCACUACAACAACAUCAUCAUCAACAACAACAACAACAACAACAACAGCAACAACAACAACAUCAACAACAUUAUGCAUCAAUGCAACAACAACAACAAACAAUGCAUUCAUUGCAACAACAAGCUGCUGGACAUCAUCCACAUCAACAAUCACAUCAACAACCAGGCAGUCAACCAUCAAGCCAACAAUCACAACAUCAAUCACCAAAUAAUAAUAAUAAUAAUACAACAAGUAAAAAUAAUAAUAUUGAUCGUGUUAAAAGACCAAUGAAUGCAUUUAUGGUAUGGUCAAGAGGACAACGUCGUAAAAUGGCACAAGAAAAUCCAAAAAUGCAUAAUUCUGAAAUAUCAAAAAGACUUGGUGCUGAAUGGAAACUUCUUAAUGAAACAGAUAAACGUCCAUUUAUUGAUGAAGCUAAAAGAUUACGUGCUGUACAUAUGAAAGAACAUCCAGAUUAUAAAUAUAGACCAAGAAGAAAAACCAAGACAUUAUUAAAAAAAGAUAAAUUUCCACUUGGUAAUGGUGUACCUGGUGGUAUGCUUGGUGUUGAUCAAAGACAAGUUGGUGGACCAGGUGGACCACAACAAUCACAAUUAUCACGUGAUGUUUAUCAAAUGCCAACUGGUUAUAUGCCAAAUGGUGCAUAUAUGAAUAUGAUGCAUGAUCCGGCGGCAUAUCAAUCACAUGCAUAUAAUGGUCAUAUGGGUGCUGCAGCAGCAGCAGCAGUUGCUGGUUAUCCACGUUAUGAUAUUGCUCAUCAUAUGUCGGGUAAUAGUCCAAGUCCAUUAAAUAAUUAUUUAAAUAGUUAUAAUGGUUAUGGUACAACAUCAGUGCCUGGUGGUUCACCAUCACCAUAUCAUCAACCACAACCUGGUUCACAAAUGUCAAGUCACAGUCCAAGUGGAAGUAGUAUUAAAUCAGAACCAACGAGUCCGGCAUCUGGUGGUAUUCAUACACCAACACCAAUUGGUACAAAUACAACAAAUUCAUCAUCUAUGAUUAAAAGAGAAUACAUGGGACAACAACAAGCAUCUGGAGGACAACAACAACAACAAGAUAUUGGAUCAAUGAUAUCAAUGUAUUUACCACAAGCUCAACAAGCUGGAGUACAACAUGCGUCGGGAGUUUAUUCACCUGGACCAUCACCUGAUCCAUUGGUUCAACAUUCUGUUAUGCCAGCACUCACCCACAUGUCAGACAGUGAUCGCAAAAUGUUAAAUCCUGAAACCGGUUGUUAUUCAGAAUCCGUUCGAGCAUGGGAUUGGAGCGCGACGGGCAACGUUCGCGUACAAGAAUCCUGGCCCACGUGAGCGCAUUUCGCAAAGGCCAAUACAAUGCCGCAACAAGACCGGUGGAUCGGGACCCCUGACUGUUGCGCGCAUCACGGUAUCAAUAUACAGAAAAAUACACGCGCCAGUAUUCAACUCAAUCACCAUCACCCUGAUCCACAUUUAAAUAUAACCAGGAUUCAGAAAAUGAAAAAUUACUGCCUGCACAAAUACAAUAUGAAAUGGACUCAUCAAAUUCAUCAUCGAGUACCAAUUCAUCUCAAAAAAUCACAUUGGACUUGUAAAAAAAAAAAAUUCAUAAAAAAAUAUAAAAUUAUUAAAAAACAUAAUUAUUGCACAAAAUUUUUUAAUAAAUACAAGUAAAAAAUCACCAAUUUGUGCAUAUAUGAAUUAAAUUAUUAUAUAUAAAGAGUGAUAUAUAAAAACUAUAAAUAAAAAAACAUAAAAUUAUAAAUAUAGAUAAAUAAUUAUAUAUAUAAAUAAAAAAAUUAAACAAGAAAAGUAAUAUUUACUUUUAAAAAAAAGCAAAAAAAAUUGACGUAAUAAAAUGAAUUAUUGUUGACAAUUGCAUUUGACAAUUAUUUAAUCAUUAUUUUUAUUAUAAUGAUUAAUUAAUUAUUACGAUAAUUAAAAAAAAAAAAAAACCCAACAAAAAAAAAUAAGUAAAAAAACCAAUUGUAAUAUAAUGAAAAAAAAAAUGGGUAAAAUUUUGUUGAAAAAAAAAAAAUAUCCAAUUGUUAAAAAUCUUAUAGUAGUAUUUUGAAUUUUAGUGUGAAUGAAAUUUGUGAUGUGUAGGUUUGGAAAAGCCACGUUGUACGACUUCCGGAAUAUUUAUACAAUAUUUAUUUAUUUUUUUUUUUUCUGGUAAAAACAACAGCGGAUGCACCUGACUCGUGUCCAAGAAAAGGCUUAGCUUGUUUGAUGAGAAAAGAUGAGAAUAAAUAUAUAAUUGUUUUUUUAUUUUUUUUUUAUUUCUAUGUUAUAUUUUAUUUUUUUGUUCAUUCAAAAAGUCGACAACACAGGGCUCGUUAAUUAUUCUGUGGGCCAAGGCGUAC